UUAAGCGACUAAGCGUACACGGUGGAUGCCCUGGCAGUCAGAGGCGAUGAAGGACGUGCUAAUCUGCGAUAAGCGUCGGUAAGGUGAUAUGAACCGUUAUAACCGGCGAUUUCCGAAUGGGGAAACCCAGUGUGUUUCGACACACUAUCAUUAACUGAAUCCAUAGGUUAAUGAGGCGAACCGGGGGAACUGAAACAUCUAAGUACCCCGAGGAAAAGAAAUCAACCGAGAUUCCCCCAGUAGCGGCGAGCGAACGGGGAGCAGCCCAGAGCCUGAAUCAGUGUGUGUGUUAGUGGAAGCGUCUGGAAAGGCGCGCGAUACAGGGUGACAGCCCCGUACACAAAAAUGCACAUGCUGUGAGCUCGAUGAGUAGGGCGGGACACGUGGUAUCCUGUCUGAAUAUGGGGGGACCAUCCUCCAAGGCUAAAUACUCCUGACUGACCGAUAGUGAACCAGUACCGUGAGGGAAAGGCGAAAAGAACCCCGGCGAGGGGAGUGAAAAAGAACCUGAAACCGUGUACGUACAAGCAGUGGGAGCACGCUUAGGCGUGUGACUGCGUACCUUUUGUAUAAUGGGUCAGCGACUUAUAUUUUGUAGCAAGGUUAACCGAAUAGGGGAGCCGAAGGGAAACCGAGUCUUAACUGGGCGUUAAGUUGCAGGGUAUAGACCCGAAACCCGGUGAUCUAGCCAUGGGCAGGUUGAAGGUUGGGUAACACUAACUGGAGGACCGAACCGACUAAUGUUGAAAAAUUAGCGGAUGACUUGUGGCUGGGGGUGAAAGGCCAAUCAAACCGGGAGAUAGCUGGUUCUCCCCGAAAGCUAUUUAGGUAGCGCCUCGUGAAUUCAUCUCCGGGGGUAGAGCACUGUUUCGGCAAGGGGGUCAUCCCGACUUACCAACCCGAUGCAAACUGCGAAUACCGGAGAAUGUUAUCACGGGAGACACACGGCGGGUGCUAACGUCCGUCGUGAAGAGGGAAACAACCCAGACCGCCAGCUAAGGUCCCAAAGUCAUGGUUAAGUGGGAAACGAUGUGGGAAGGCCCAGACAGCCAGGAUGUUGGCUUAGAAGCAGCCAUCAUUUAAAGAAAGCGUAAUAGCUCACUGGUCGAGUCGGCCUGCGCGGAAGAUGUAACGGGGCUAAACCAUGCACCGAAGCUGCGGCAGCGACGCUGAUGCGUUGUUGGGUAGGGGAGCGUUCUGUAAGCCUGCGAAGGUGUGCUGUGAGGCAUGCUGGAGGUAUCAGAAGUGCGAAUGCUGACAUAAGUAACGAUAAAGCGGGUGAAAAGCCCGCUCGCCGGAAGACCAAGGGUUCCUGUCCAACGUUAAUCGGGGCAGGGUGAGUCGACCCCUAAGGCGAGGCCGAAAGGCGUAGUCGAUGGGAAACAGGUUAAUAUUCCUGUACUUGGUGUUACUGCGAAGGGGGGACGGAGAAGGCUAUGUUGGCCGGGCGACGGUUGUCCCGGUUUAAGCGUGUAGGCUGGUUUUCCAGGCAAAUCCGGAAAAUCAAGGCUGAGGCGUGAUGACGAGGCACUACGGUGCUGAAGCAACAAAUGCCCUGCUUCCAGGAAAAGCCUCUAAGCAUCAGGUAACAUCAAAUCGUACCCCAAACCGACACAGGUGGUCAGGUAGAGAAUACCAAGGCGCUUGAGAGAACUCGGGUGAAGGAACUAGGCAAAAUGGUGCCGUAACUUCGGGAGAAGGCACGCUGAUAUGUAGGUGAAGUCCCUUGCGGAUGGAGCUGAAAUCAGUCGAAGAUACCAGCUGGCUGCAACUGUUUAUUAAAAACACAGCACUGUGCAAACACGAAAGUGGACGUAUACGGUGUGACGCCUGCCCGGUGCCGGAAGGUUAAUUGAUGGGGUUAGCGCAAGCGAAGCUCUUGAUCGAAGCCCCGGUAAACGGCGGCCGUAACUAUAACGGUCCUAAGGUAGCGAAAUUCCUUGUCGGGUAAGUUCCGACCUGCACGAAUGGCGUAAUGAUGGCCAGGCUGUCUCCACCCGAGACUCAGUGAAAUUGAACUCGCUGUGAAGAUGCAGUGUACCCGCGGCAAGACGGAAAGACCCCGUGAACCUUUACUAUAGCUUGACACUGAACAUUGAGCCUUGAUGUGUAGGAUAGGUGGGAGGCUUAGAAGUGUGGACGCCAGUCUGCAUGGAGCCGACCUUGAAAUACCACCCUUUAAUGUUUGAUGUUCUAACGUUGACCCGUAAUCCGGGUUGCGGACAGUGUCUGGUGGGUAGUUUGACUGGGGCGGUCUCCUCCUAAAGAGUAACGGAGGAGCACGAAGGUUGGCUAAUCCUGGUCGGACAUCAGGAGGUUAGUGCAAUGGCAUAAGCCAGCUUGACUGCGAGCGUGACGGCGCGAGCAGGUGCGAAAGCAGGUCAUAGUGAUCCGGUGGUUCUGAAUGGAAGGGCCAUCGCUCAACGGAUAAAAGGUACUCCGGGGAUAACAGGCUGAUACCGCCCAAGAGUUCAUAUCGACGGCGGUGUUUGGCACCUCGAUGUCGGCUCAUCACAUCCUGGGGCUGAAGUAGGUCCCAAGGGUAUGGCUGUUCGCCAUUUAAAGUGGUACGCGAGCUGGGUUUAGAACGUCGUGAGACAGUUCGGUCCCUAUCUGCCGUGGGCGCUGGAGAACUGAGGGGGGCUGCUCCUAGUACGAGAGGACCGGAGUGGACGCAUCACUGGUGUUCGGGUUGUCAUGCCAAUGGCACUGCCCGGUAGCUAAAUGCGGAAGAGAUAAGUGCUGAAAGCAUCUAAGCACGAAACUUGCCCCGAGAUGAGUUCUCCCUGACCCUUUAAGGGUCCUGAAGGAACGUUGAAGACGACGACGUUGAUAGGCCGGGUGUGUAAGCGCAGCGAUGCGUUGAGCUAACCGGUACUAAUGAACCGUGAGGCUUAACCUU
rnacentral:rRNA from 2 species